rnacentral:rRNA from 1 species
AUAUGUGAUCGUCUCUCGCAUAUCAAUAAGCGGAGGAAAAGAAACUAACAAGGAUUCCCCUAGUAACGGCGAGUGAAGCGGGAAGAGCUCAAAUUUGAAAUCUUAAAGGGUUUCCCUUUACGAAUUGUAGUUUAAAGUAAGUGUUUUCUGUUGAGGUUUUGGUAAAAGUUCUUUGGAAUAGGACAUCAUAGAGGGUGAGAAUCCCGUAUUUGACCUUUACUUUCAACUUUGUGAUACACUUUCAAAGAGUCGGAUUGUUUGGGAAUGCAGUCCAAAAUGGGUGGUAAAUUUCAUCUAAAGCUAAAUAUUGGCGAGAGACCGAUAGCGAACAAGUACCGUGAGGGAAAGAUGAAAAGAACUUUGAAAAGAGAGUUAAACAGUACGUGAAAUUGUCGAAAGGGAAGCGUUUGACACCAGUGUUGUUUUUCUGAAAAUCAAUUAAAGAACUGUUUAUGCUAAGCUGUUUAGACUUUGUCAGCUAUCUGUUUAGUUUUGAGCUUUUCUUUAAUGCACUUUUCAGUUAACAAGUCAACAUCAAUUUCUUUUGCUGUAAAAAAGCUUGAGGAAGGUGGCUUGAGAUUCGUCUUAAGUGUUUAUAGCCUCUUGCCUAUGCAGUCGGAGAGAUUGAGGUCUGCAGCGUAGAUCCUUCGGGGCUAAAUGCAUUUGUGCUAAGUUAUAGCAUUUUAUAGACAACUUGUUGACUAUGAUUUGUCUUGUAGCUUACUCGCUUAUGUUAUUUUACCUACGCUUAGGAUGUUGACACACGCGCGUGCUCG